GAUGAACGCUGGCGGCGUGCCUAAUACAUGCAAGUCGAGCGAACAGAUGAGGAGCUUGCUCCUCUGACGUUAGCGGCGGACGGGUGAGUAACACGUGGAUAACCUACCUAUAAGACUGGGAUAACUUCGGGAAACCGGAGCUAAUACCGGAUAAUAUAUUGAACCGCAUGGUUCAAUAGUGAAAGACGGUUUUGCUGUCACUUAUAGAUGGAUCCGCGCCGCAUUAGCUAGUUGGUAAGGUAACGGCUUACCAAGGCAACGAUGCGUAGCCGACCUGAGAGGGUGAUCGGCCACACUGGAACUGAGACACGGACCAGACUCCUACGGAAGGCAGCAGUAGGGAAUCUUCCGCAAUGGGCGAAAGCCUGACGGAGAAACGCCGCGUGAGUGAUGAAGGUCUUCGGAUCGUAAAACUCUGUUAUUAGGGAAGAACAAAUGUGUAGGUAACUAUGCACGUCUUGACGGUACCUAAUCAGAAAGCCACGGCUAACUACGU
rnacentral:rRNA from 1 species